UGGGGAAUUGUUCGCAAUGGGCGCAAGCCUGACGACGCAACGCCGCGUGGAGGAUGAAGGUCUUCGGAUUGUAAACUCCUGUUGCCCGGGACGAAUGGCUCCAACCUAAUACGUUGGAGUGUGACGGUACCGGGUGAGGAAGCCCCGGCUAACUCUGUGCCAGCAGCCGCGGUAAUACAGAGGGGGCAAGCGUUGUUCGGAAUUACUGGGCGUAAAGGGCGCGUAGGCGGCCUUCUAAGUCGAACGUGAAAUCCCCGGGCUCAACCCGGGAACUGCGUCCGAGACUGGAAGGCUCGAAUCCGGGAGAGGGAUGUGGAAUUCCAGGUGUAGCGGUGAAAUGCGUAGAUAUCUGGAGGAACAUCGGUGGCGAAGGCGGCAUCCUGGACCGGUAUUGACGCUGAGGCGCGAAAGCCAGGGGAGCAAACGG
rnacentral:rRNA from 1 species